rnacentral:rRNA from 1 species
UACGUAGGGUGCGAGCGUUGUCCGGAAUUAUUGGGCGUAAAGGGCUCGUAGGCGGUCUGUUGCGUCGGGAGUGAAAACUCAGGGCUUAACCCUGAGCCUGCUUCCGAUACGGGCAGACUAGAGGUAUGCAGGGGAGAACGGAAUUCCUGGUGUAGCGGUGAAAUGCGCAGAUAUCAGGAGGAACACCGGUGGCGAAGGCGGUUCUCUGGGCAUGUCCUGACGCUGAGGAGCGAAAGUGUGGGGAGCGAACAGG